rnacentral:rRNA from 1 species
AGUGAACGCUGGCGGUAGGCCUAACACAUGCAAGUCGAACGGCAGCACAGUAAGAGCUUGCUCUUAUGGGUGGCGAGUGGCGGACGGGUGAGGAAUACAUCGGAAUCUACUUUUUCGUGGGGGAUAACGUAGGGAAACUUACGCUAAUACCGCAUACGACCUACGGGUGAAAGCAGGGGAUCUUCGGACCUUGCGCGAUUGAAUGAGCCGAUGUCGGAUUAGCUAGUUGGCGGGGUAAAGGCCUACCAAGGCGACGAUCCGUAGCUGGUCUGAGAGGAUGAUCAGCCACACUGGAACUGAGACACGGUCCAGACUCCUACGGGAGGCAGCAGUGGGGAAUAUUGGACAAUGGGCGCAAGCCUGAUCCAGCCAUACCGCGUGGGUGAAGAAGGCCUUCGGGUUGUAAAGCCCUUUUGUUGGGAAAGAAAAGCAGCAGGUUAAUACCCCGCUGUUCUGACGGUACCCAAAGAAUAAGCACCGGCUAACUUCGUG